UCCAAACAUGUAAAGACCUGA
rnacentral:siRNA from 1 species